UACUCCUCCUACUCCUUAACUUUAUAGUCCCUCACCCAUUCUCCUUCAUUCCCUCACCCCUUCACACUUCACGCUUUUGUUCCUUACCCUUCAUCUCUUACUUAUCUCUUCAAUUCUUCAUUCCAUCACUUAGUCCCUUCAUUCCCCAGCCAUUCAUUCCUUAUCCUGCAUCCCUUACCCACUCUCACUUAAUUUCUUCAUCCCCUACCCUUAAUUCUGUCUGCUAUUUCUUAUCCUUUUAUCCGUUUCUUCAUCCUACAGUCCUUCGUCCGUUAGCUCUGUCAUUCUCUAACCCUCCAGACCGAUCCUAACCGAUCAACAUCCAGCGUAUCGUCGUCACAACACAUCCACCUCCUUGUCUCCCACACAAGCUACAAGUGACCUGGACAUCUGCUACUGCCAAGCGCCUCCUUCCACUAUCUCCGCCAUCAGUAAUCUUCCAGGCAGCAGGACAUAAGUGUUUCCAGGACAAUGCAGAACACCUGGAUAAGAUCACGCGGGUCUUGUGAAAAAUUUACCUGACGUGUCCAGAUCUGUGCCCCUUGACACGGUGUACAGUACCUGGGCGUGGCUCCGAGUUACGGUAGCUGAUACGAGUCGAGAAAGCGCAAGAAGCUAAGAGUGUCACACCAGCAUUUGCGAUCUGCGAGUUUAAGACAGCCACGUCCACCUCCGGCUUCUUCCUGGCGGUCCCUCCUCACCCAGUGGGAAAAGCCCUGCAUCCGGCCAUACGUGGGCUUCACCUCACCGUUUAGCCAUGUCUCAGUCACCACAACAAUAUCUACAUUGUGUCGUUGCACACAGUUGUGGUAUAAGUCUGCAAGGUUAGUCCGGAGACCACGGAGGUCUCUCUCUCUCUCUCUCUCUCUCUCUCUCUCUCUCUCUCUCUCUCUCUCUCUCUCUCU